rnacentral:rRNA from 1 species
UGAGGAAUUUUCCGCAAUGGGCGCAAGCCUGACGGAGCGACGCCGCGUGAGGGAUGACGGCCUUCGGGUUGUAAACCUCUUUUAUUAGGGAAAAGACAUUUGUGCUAAUACCACGGAUGUUUGAUUGUACCUGUUGAAUAAGCCCCGGCUAACUACGUGCCAGCAGCCGCGGUAAUACGUAGGGGGCGAGCGUUGUCCGGAGUUACUGGGCGUAAAGAGCGUGUAGGCGGUUGGAAAAGUCAGGUGUGAAAUUCUUCGGCUCAACCGAGGGACUGCGCCUGAAACUUUCCGACUGGAGUUCGGGAGGGGCAACUGGAGUUCCUGGUGUAACGGUGAAAUGUGUAGAUAUCAGGAGGAACACCCGUGGCGAAGGCGGGUUGCUGGACCGAAAUUGACGCUGAG